rnacentral:rRNA from 1 species
CGCCAGCAGCCGCGGUAAUACAGAGGUCCCAAGCGUUGUUCGGAUUCACUGGGCGUAAAGGGUGCGUAGGUGGUCGGGUAAGUCUGAUGUGAAAUCUCCGAGCUUAACUCGGAAACGGCAUCGGAAACUACUUGGCUUGAGGAUUGGAGGGGAGACUGGAAUUCUCGGUGUAGCAGUGAAAUGCGUAGAUAUCGAGAGGAACACCAGUGGCGAAGGCGAGUCUCUGGACAAUUCCUGACACUGAGGCACGAAAGCUAGGGGAGCAAACAGGAUUAGAUACCCUGGUAGUCCUAGCUGUAAACGGUGCACGUUUGCUGUAAUCGGAAUCGACCCCGAUUGUGGCGAAGCUAACGCGUUAAACGUGCCGCCUGGGGAGUACGGUCGCAAGAUUAAAACUCAAAGGAAUUGACGGGGGCCCGCACAAGC